rnacentral:rRNA from 1 species
GACGUAGGGUGCGAGCGUUGUCCGGAUUUAUUGGGCGUAAAGAGCGUGUAGGCGGCUUGGUAGGUCCGCUGUGAAAACUCGAAGCUCAACCUCGAGAUGUCGGCGGAAACCACUUGGCUAGAGUCCGGAAGAGGAGAGUGGAAUUCCUGGUGUAGCGGUGAAAUGCGCAGAUAUCAGGAAGAACACCUAUGGCGAAGGCAGCUCUCUGGGACGGUACUGACGCUGAGACGCGAAAGCGUGGGGAGCGAACAGG